ACGCACGCUGGCGGCGUGCUUCACACAUGCCAGUCGAACGGAAAGGCCCUGCUUGCAGGGUGCUCGAGUGGCGAACGGGUGAGUAACACGUGGGUGAUCUGCCCCUUACUUUGGGAUAAGCCUGGGAAACUGGGUCUAAUACUGGAUAGGACCAUGCUGUAGGUGGUGUGGUGGAAAGAUUAGUUUCGGUAAGGGAUGAGCUCGCGGCCUAUCAGCUUGUUGGUGGGGUAAUGGCCUACCAAGGCGUCGACGGGUAGCCGGCCUGAGAGGGUGGACGGCCACAUUGGGACUGGGAAAAGGGCCAGACUCCUUCGGGAGGCAGGAGGUGGGAAUAUUGCACAAUGGGGGGAAGCCUGAUGGAGGGACGGCGCGGGGGGGAUGACGGCCUUCGGGUUGUAAACUCCUUUCAGCCAUGACGAAGCCCUUGUGGUGACGGUAGUGGUAGAAGAAGCACCGGCUAACUACGUG
rnacentral:rRNA from 1 species